rnacentral:rRNA from 1 species
GAUGAACGCUGGCGGCGUGCUUAACACAUGCAAGUCGAGCGAAGCGGUUUAAAUGAGACUUCGGUGGAUUUUAAACUGACUGAGCGGGCGACGGGUGAAGGUAACGCGUGGAUAACCUGCCUCACACAGGGGGAUAACAGUUAGAAAUGACUGCUAAUACCGCAUAAGCGCACAGUACCGCAUGGUACGGUGUGAAAAACUCCGGUGGUAUGAGAUGGACCCGCGUCCGAUUAGCUAGUUGGUGAGGUAACGGCCCACCAAGGCGACGAUCGGUAGCCGGACUGAGAGGUUGAACGGCCACAUUGGGACUGAGACACGGCCCAG